CAGCACAAGACCACAAAAGCAACAAGAUCCAAAGUGGGGAGGGCAAGCCUCUUUUCUGUUCUUAUAUUGUAAGCAGUCUACAACCUC